GACAGAGGAUGCAAGCGUUAUCCGGAAUGAUUGGGCGUAAAGCGUCUGUAGGUGGCUUUUUAAGUCCGCCGUCAAAUCCCAGGGCUCAACCCUGGACAGGCGGUGGAAACUACCAAGCUGGAGUACGGUAGGGGCAGAGGGAAUUCUCGGUGUAGUGGUGAAAUACGUAGAUAUCGAGAAGAACACCAAUAGCGAAAGCACUCUGCUGGGCCGAAACUGACAUUGAGAGACGAAAGCUAGGGGAGCGAAAGGG
rnacentral:rRNA from 1 species